rnacentral:lncRNA from 1 species
CUGAUGAUGAGCUGCCGGUCGACUCGGUUCAGUAUUGUUUCAUCUCUCGACCUCGCCGGUUGGACACCUCAUCUGUGCCGCCGCCUCUUUGUACCAAAAGUUCAAGCCAAAAAGCCCUCGGCGUUCGGGGAUUUUUUCGUGAGUUUCUGUCGUUCUUUAAUAACCGUGGGUAGACCUGUUGCUUACACAGAUAAGGCAUUCAUCACGUGACGCGAUUGUAGACGACUUACCAGCUGUCAAGGUGAGUUAACAUAUUCCACAAACACCAAUAUCGUCGGCGGCACAGGGCAGCCAAGUGUUUUAAUGAGCAAAAGUCAGAUGCGGCCAGGCGAAAAGAGAGCAUGUCAAAGUAUGUAGGAAAGAGAAAGGAAUGUAUUGGUGGGGUGUUCCAAGAAUUAUCCAGAGCGUACUGGCCCGUUUCAAAAAAGGGGUUUUCCUUUGUCACUCUAUACAAAUUUAAAAGCAGAAAGGUCGACGACCUCUUUGUGUAGAGUAUCCAAGCAGCAUUUAUGUUUGUACAUGUAUAAAUGUUUAUCUGAAUAAGAGAGAAUAUCAUUCAGUAGUUGCUAUAUUCCUUUCCUUCAUUUAAUUGAUCCAUUUGGUAUAAUAUAAUGGCAUACAAAUAAAGUCAGUCCCAAUUAGAUUCUUUCGACGGCUUCAAUAUUACCGUUUUCCGGAACAUCCCACAGAGACAGGUGCCGGCGGCGCACGUCGAUGACUGUUGUUGUUAUGGCUCUGCAGUCGUCAUGCCAAUACUGCUGACAAUGAUGUGUGUGAUUCCAUAUCUUGCAGAGCUCUACAAAUAAAUCAAAGGCCCACAGAUGUGCCGCUGGGCUGGGGGGGGAAAUACGAUGGGAACAAGUCAUUGCAUUCGGUUGUCACCAUUAGUCGGUGAUUCAUGGCUGAUAAAGCAGAAUUUGACAGAUCCAAAUACCUAGCUGCCACGCCCGGAUGAACCUCCCCGAACGUGUACCACCCAAACGGCCAAUUUACAUGUCUCCAUGGCGACACCUGACGACGAACGCACGAAACAUUCGAGAUCGUGUGAAAAAAGCUCGGCCGAAGCUUUUUAACUCCGUGUAGAAAACAGCUUCAUGUCAGUGUCAUGUAAAUACAUUCAUACUCGUAUUUUGUCGCGUUGUUAUUGUGUAGAAAACUAUUUAAAUUGUCUUUGCUAUUUUUCCGUUGGCCUUAUUUUAAAAUUUAAAUAAAUAUCAUAAAAG